rnacentral:rRNA from 1 species
GAUGAACGCUAGCUACAGGCUUAACACAUGCAAGUCGAGGGGAAACGACAUCGAAAGCUUGCUUUUGAUGGGCGUCGACCGGCGCACGGGUGAGUAACGCGUAUCCAACCUUCCCGCAACUGGGGGAUAACCUUGCGAAAGUAAGACUAAUACCCCAUGGUCUCCACGGAUGGCAUCUGAAAUGGAGUAAAGGUUUCGGCCGGUUGCGGAUGGGGAUGCGUCCGAUUAGCUUGACGGCGGGGUAACGGCCCACCGUGGCAUCGAUCGGUAGGGGUUCUGAGAGGAAGGUCCCCCACAUUGGAACUGAGACACGGUCCAAACUCCUACGGGAGGCAGCAGUGAGGAAUAUUGGUCAAUGGGCGGAAGCCUGAACCAGCCAAGUAGCGUGAAGGGACGACUGCCCUAUGGGUUGUAAACUUCUUUUAUGCGGGAUAAAGUUCGCCACGUGUGGCGUUUUGCAGGUACCGCAUGAAUAAGGACCGGCUAAUUCCGUGCCAG